UCAUCUGAAAGGCAAAGAAAAAUCAUCUCUCAAUCUCAUCUCAUUUUUCCCUUGUCUCUAAAUCAUAUCUUCAUCACUCAAAAAUUGAUUUUUCUCUCGAUCUUCAUCUCUCAAAGCUUCGCGAUGGGGAAUCUUGACGGUUUCUUGGUAGGCUUUGAAAGUAUCAAUCAUAGUAGGGAAGCUAGAUCUUCCAUCCACAUCAUUGGAAUCAAACUCUAACACAAAGAUAAAAGUAGUAAAGAUUGGAAGUUCAUACACUAGAGCAUCAAGAAAAGGAAGAUAACAUGAAACACUAGCACCUAUAAAUAUUGAAAAAUGACAGAGUUACAAUUCAUAAGGAUAUAUAUUGGUGUUAUACAAUUGGAGAUUAUUCAUUAUUUUUGACUUCAAAGACCUAAAAUUGAAGUCCUCUUUCCUUUGCAACUAGAUCUCCUAACGUUGGCAACUGAUCCAAACUUUAACGGAAAGAAUCUAAUAAAAAAGGUAAGCAAACAUAGUUUAAAUUCUUUAUUGUUUACAUGAAUCUAUUUUUAUCAAACAUGUCUUAGGGUUUAUAUUUUCAUUUUACAAUUUAUAUAUUUUUCCCUUCAAUAAAUCAUGUUUUAAUUAAAACAUAUUUGUUUUUAGAAUUUAAACAUUAGCAACGAAUAUCUCUUUCAGUUAGGCAUGUCAAUGGGCCGGGGGUGAGGAUGAGCUUUACAUUCCUCGUCCCCAUACCUGAUUCUCAUAUUACCCGUUAACCUACUCAUACCCAAUUAUAAGCGAGGAGGUCUAGGUGGUGAGUUCGCAGUAAUACUUAUUCCGAUUAUACGAACCUGAGUAGAGGAUGAGGGAUUGUUGAUGUUACUACUCGUCAUGUUCUGCAUUCCAGAUGUUAAUCUUGGAGCAUUGGUCAUGCCAACGUUUACCUUCAGCCACUUGUCUAGCUGCAUCGAGGCAUAUGGUUUGUGCACUUCCAAAACUAUAGGCUGCCAAAUAGAGCUCUUCAGAUGCAUUGUUUGCAAAGGACACAACCAUUAACUUAACUGAAUAUGAAGCCACCAAAGAGGGAAUCACACUCCCCCUAAUCAUUCAUCCUUAAUUUCAUGAUAAGUAAACUAUCAACCCUCUCCCGCACUUGCCGAUUUCGACAAUGGUAGCAAUAUCCUAGAAAUCGAAAGAAUGUUGGACCUUCGAUGAACGGUUACAAUUCUCCCAAUGGGUUUACAAAGAGUGGUUUUAUCCACCACUCCAUUUCCAUUGAGGAUGCAUAUUAACCUCCCUCGUCGACGAGCAUAAUCAAAGAGAACAAUUGACACGUCAACUUCAGUAGUGAUAUCAAGCACAUGAGAACAUAGUCCAAAUGGGUUUCCAUGUGUUAUUAUGACAUCUUGUUUGGCUUACUCUUAGAGCCAAGUGGAUGCCCUGAAGGCGAUGAAUGAUAACAUAGGUUGUAAAUGAUGGUUUUUGUUUGUGGUGGUAUCAAUGUAUUUUGUUCAGAGUUAACGUUUGGAAUUUCCUAGCUUUUAUGCUCAUAGAAAUAACAUAUAACAUCUUCCUCUUUCCACCAAUUUUCUGCUCAAUAUUUCACUCCCAUGGCAAAAGGUUGAAAUUCACUAAGUUAAUUGCAAAGAUAACUCCAAAGUAUUUAUAUAAACCUUUAGCUAGCAAGUAAGAGAUAGCAUACAUAAUAUAAAGAUAAUUUCAAAAUAUUUAUAACCAUAACCAUUGUGGGAACAUAUGUACCAUAAUUCAAAAUAUUUAUAACCAUAUAUGUGAUGGUAACAUACAUUGCAUACCAAAAAGCUAUCUAGUACUUGUAACCAUAAUCAAACCAAAAAGGUCCACCAAAAAACAGAUGGCAACAUAAGUUUUAUAUAAAAAUAAAAAUAAAAAGCAUGGUGAAUAAACAAGCAUCUAAAUCUCCCUUCCAAACUUGUAUACCAAGCCAAUGUUAAUAGUAAAACAUAAUGUCCUUGACAUUUUCCACGAUGGAGGGAAGUGUCGACACAAAGUUGGUGGUAAAAUGUUGAUCCUUAUUAUGUUUCAUAUGAAACAUAAUUUAACAAAAAUGUUGAUCCUUGUAUGCAGUUUCUCCUGCUUAUUAUGCACACUUGUUAGCAUUUUGAGGUCACUACUACCUUAAUGAAGUUGACACUUCUGAUUCCGGUUCUGCAAAUGGUAACAUAAGUAACAUACAAGGAUCUCUAUAAUAAGUGUUCAUAAUAAAAAGUAUUCUUAUU